rnacentral:lncRNA from 1 species
CGGCGCGGGCCUUAUCUCCCAACAGCCCGAGCUCGGGCCACUGCACGCCAUAGUCCCAGAGCGCUGCGCGAGUGGCCGGCUGUGGCGGCUCGGGGUGCGCCCCUGCUGACAGCGUCUUUCAGCGGGAACGCCCUGGAGAGGACGAGUGGUGACCGAACAGCUACUACGGUGGGACCAAUCCGAUGUCGCCUUGGUUCCCACGCUGUCUUCCUGGGGAGCGUUAGGUCGCCCUGGCAGCGUGUGGCUCCGCGUCUGGGGCUGAGCUGAGUGCGGUUACCCAAGGCCAGGUCCUGGUUUCCGGGAGCCACUCAUUAGAAGCCUAUCCCACCUCUGCCUGUUGACAAUAUAAAUUGUCCAAGUCCAGCUCUUUCUGGGUGGAGCAUACCAUGCCUUCUUGAGGUUCUGCUUCCCAGAUGGCUACUCUACAAAUGCAAGAGUCCUCUCGGCUCUUCAGUGGAUGUGUGCUCGUGACAUGGAAUGCGGUG